CUGCCCCGUACAUUACGCAGGGCACCUUCCCUGUGUUCCUGAGCCCCACUCCAAAUACACAGUGCUCCCCCAAGGAGCGUCAUUUCGGCACCAGGUGCAUCUGAUUUCUCUCCUUGGAUACUAACAGCUGGAACAACACAUGCCUGUGGAAUUGACCCCUCUCAAAGAUCAGGCAGGACUCACUCUGGCUCCACUAUCAGGACCACUGACUACUGACCGGUGCAGCCUGCUCUCCUUUCCCUGCGUUUUCCACGGGGUGGUGACAGAUGUUGGAAUAAAGACACCCUCCCACCUGCCUGAGCGCCAACUCCCCUUGCUCCACCCCUAUAUCAGGGGUAGCCAACUCCCAAGAGACUGCAAUCUAAUCACAGUAGGGUUCAGGGAGAAAUUGUUGAGCUUUUUUUAGGGAGGAGGAAGCAGAAAGGGGAACAGCCACUGAC